UUGACCUCGGAUCAGGUAGGGAUACCCGCUGAACUUAAGCAUAUCAAAAGUCGGAAGGAAA
rnacentral:rRNA from 1 species